rnacentral:misc_RNA from 1 species
CAUUAAAAAGAAAAGGUAAUACACAUGAUAUUGCUGUGACAGAAAUUCAAAAUAGAGGUGAUCAGCCUUAGAAAUUUAACACUAAGAAUACAAUGAUCGCCAUUUCAGAAGGUUACAAAGUAGAUACAUUCAACAAAAGCCACAUCUGCCACGAGUGAACACCUUGGGCCUGUGUUUGACAUAUGCCACAAAUUACAAUGAACAUCUGCCUUAUUCCAGCUUUAUUCAAAAAUGCAAAUGAAGGAUGACUUCAAUUUUCUUCAUCAAUUGUCACUCUUGACAUUUGCGCUAUCAUGAAGAAUACAUUGUUGGUGAAAGUGAGAAUGAUAGGAAAGAAGCACCUUGUUAAUUUUAAGAAACAAGGAUGAUCACAAGAACAUAAAGAUUAAUAUAUAACUUCUUAAACUGACCUUGAAAGGAGCUUCUUUGUGUCCCUUAACAAUCAUGCUACAGUCAUAUUUCACCGAAACUGUGGAAACGGAUUCAACAUCUUUGGACAGUCAACUAUAUCAACUUCAUUCAAGGACGGACAUCUCAAAACUUCACUUCCAGAAUAAAAACUGGUUAAACUAGGCAAACUCUCAAGAUUGAUGGUGUGUAAUGAAGGGAAUAUGGUCUUAUCCCACUCUCCUUCAUCUUCCUUUUCCCCUUCUUUGUUGAUGAUCUGCUCCAACAAAAUGCAUCCCUCUACUUCCAUAUGCUCUAGUCGCACAAGCCCCAAAGCCAUUGGAAGAGUUAAUAUAUUUGUCAAGCUGCUACAGUUAUAAACCUUCAGUAGUUUUAGGUUUUCAAAACUCAAAAUUCCUUGAGGAUCCUUGUUCCAUAUAUGCCUCAACUGAGGUAGAUCAAUUAAAUGCAAUUCCUGUAACCAUGGCAUAAGCUGAACAUGCCCUUCAUCUGCACUCAUACCUUCCAAAUCAAAUAUUUCUUCCAGUGAAUCACAUUGUUCUACAAUCAGCACCUUCAAGCUUUCCAAGAACGGCAUUUGAUUUGAUGACAAGGCUUUUGACAAAAAUUCACACUUGUCCACUGUCAAUUUGCUAAUAUGGGCUACAAAUUUUAACGGAGUUUGGCUCUGCCAUUUUUCCUUUAGAAGGGGAAAUUUAGAGAGUUUCAUAUUCCAAUUGUGGUAAAAUCCUUCCAUUUCCAAAUAGGACUUCUGUACGGUGGCAUUAAGGUUGCCCUCCCAACGCCAACUCUGAAAACGCACUUCAUGCAGAUGUACGCACUGCAGCUUUGGUGUGCUUAAGACUCCAUCAGAAAAGGUCCUCAUAUUGGGGCAUCCACUCACGGUUACUACUUCCAAACAUGGGAAUUUGAAGGUUAAACUACCCAAGCAGAAUCCUUCAAGGCUUUUUAAAUGAAUGAGUUCCAAAGUUUU